GGGUUGUGAGGUUAAGCGACUAAGCGUACACGGUGGAUGCCUAGGCAAUCAGAGGCGAUGAAGGACGUGCUAAUCUGCGAUAAGCGUCGGUAAGGUGAUAUGAACCGUUACAACCGACGAUUUCCGAAUGGGGAAACCCAGUGCAAUUCGUUGCACUAUCGUUUGAUGAAUACAUAGUCAAACGAAGCGAACCGGGGGAACUGAAACAUCUCAGUACCCCGAGGAAAAGAAAUCAACCGAGAUUCCCCUAGUAGCGGCGAGCGAACGGGGAGCAGCCCAGAGUCUUAAUCAGCAUUAGCAUCAGGAGAACGGUCUGGAAAGUCCGGCAGUAAAGGGUGAUAGCCCCGUAUCCGAAGGUGUUAGUGUUGUGAACUCGACGAGUAGGGCGGGACACGUGUUAUCCUGUCUGAAUAUGGGGGGACCAUCCUCCAAGGCUAAAUACUCCUGAUUGACCGAUAGUGAACCAGUACCGUGAGGGAAAGGCGAAAAGAACCCCGGCGAGGGGAGUGAAAUAGAACCUGAAACCGUGUACGUACAAGCAGUGGGAGCCUUGAUUUAUCAGGGUGACUGCGUACCUUUUGUAUAAUGGGUCAGCGACUUAUAUUCUGUAGCAAGGUUAACCGUAUAGGGGAGCCGUAGGGAAACCGAGUCUUAACUGGGCGAAUAAGUUGCAGGGUAUAGACCCGAAACCCGGUGAUCUAGCCAUGGGCAGGUUGAAGGUUGGGUAACACUAACUGGAGGACCGAACCGACUAAUGUUGAAAAAUUAGCGGAUGACUUGUGGCUGGGGGUGAAAGGCCAAUCAAACCGGGAGAUAGCUGGUUCUCCCCGAAAGCUAUUUAGGUAGCGCCUCGUGAACUCAUCUUCGGGGGUAGAGCACUGUUUCGACUAGGGGGUCAUCCCGACUUACCAACUCGAUGCAAACUACGAAUACCGAAGAAUGUUAUCACGGGAGACACACGGCGGGUGCUAACGUUCGUCGUGAAGAGGGAAACAACCCAGACCGCCAGCUAAGGUCCCAAAGUCAUAGUUAAGUGGGAAACGAAGUGGGAAGGCUCAGACAGCCAGGAUGUUGGCUUAGAAGCAGCCAUCAUUUAAAGAAAGCGUAAUAGCUCACUGGUCGAGUCGGCCUGCGCGGAAGAUGUAACGGGGCUAAACUAUGCACCGAAGCUGCGGCAGCGAUAUGUAAAUAUUGUUGGGUAGGGGAGCGUUCUGUAAGCCUGUGAAGGUGUGCUGUGAGGCAUGCUGGAGGUAUCAGAAGUGCGAAUGCUGACAUAAGUAACGAUAAUGCGGGUGAAAAACCCGCACGCCGGAAGACCAAGGGUUCCUGUCCAACGUUAAUCGGGGCAGGGUGAGUCGACCCCUAAGGCGAGGCAGAAAUGCGUAGUCGAUGGGAAACGGGUUAAUAUUCCCGUACUGGUGAUAAUUGCGAUGGGGGGACGGAGAAGGCUAGGCUAUCCGGGCGACGGUUGUCCCGGUUUAAGGAUGUAGGCAGGUGAAUUAGGCAAAUCCGGUUCACUAUAUGCUGAGGUCCGAUGACGAGUCACUACGGUGAUGAAGUAGCUCAUGCCCCGCUUCCAGGAAAAGCCUCUAAGCUCUAGAUUAUCAUUAAUCGUACCCCAAACCGACACAGGUGGUCAGGUAGAGAAUACUCAGGCGCUUGAGAGAACUCGGGUGAAGGAACUAGGCAAAAUGGUGCCGUAACUUCGGGAGAAGGCACGCUGGCAUUAGGUGAAGUCCCUUGCGGAUGGAGCUGAAGCCAGUCGCAGAUACCAGCUGGCUGCAACUGUUUAUUAAAAACACAGCACUGUGCAAACACGAAAGUGGACGUAUACGGUGUGACGCCUGCCCGGUGCUGGAAGGUUAAUUGAUGGGGUUAUCCGUAAGGAGAAGCUCUUGAUCGAAGCCCCAGUAAACGGCGGCCGUAACUAUAACGGUCCUAAGGUAGCGAAAUUCCUUGUCGGGUAAGUUCCGACCUGCACGAAUGGCGUAAUGAUGGCCAGGCUGUCUCCACCCGAGACUCAGUGAAAUUGAACUCGCUGUGAAGAUGCAGUGUACCCGCGGCAAGACGGAAAGACCCCGUGAACCUUUACUAUAGCUUGACACUGAACAUUGAGCCUUGAUGUGUAGGAUAGGUGGGAGGCUUUGAAGUGUGGACGCCAGUCUGCAUGGAGCCAACCUUGAAAUACCACCCUUUAAUGUUUGAUGUUCUAACGUUGCCCCGUUAUCCGGGGUGCGGACAGUGUCUGGUGGGUAGUUUGACUGGGGCGGUCUCCUCCCAAAGAGUAACGGAGGAGCACGAAGGUUGGCUAAGCAUGGUCGGACAUCAUGCGGUUAGUGCAAAGGCAUAAGCCAGCUUGACUGCGAGAGUGACGGCUCGAGCAGGUACGAAAGUAGGUCUUAGUGAUCCGGUGGUUCUGAAUGGAAGGGCCAUCGCUCAACGGAUAAAAGGUACUCCGGGGAUAACAGGCUGAUACCGCCCAAGAGUUCAUAUCGACGGCGGUGUUUGGCACCUCGAUGUCGGCUCAUCACAUCCUGGGGCUGAAGUAGGUCCCAAGGGUACGGCUGUUCGCCGUUUAAAGUGGUACGCGAGCUGGGUUUAGAACGUCGUGAGACAGUUCGGUCCCUAUCUGCCGUGGGCGUUGGAAGAUUGAAAGGGGCUGCUCCUAGUACGAGAGGACCGGAGUGGACGCACCACUGGUGUUCGGGUUGUCAUGCCAAUGGCAUUGCCCGGUAGCUAAGUGCGGAAGAGAUAACCGCUGAAAGCAUCUAAGCGGGAAACUUGCCUUGAGAUGAGUCUUCCCUGACUCUUUAAGAGUCCUAAAGGAACGUUUAAGACUAAGACGUUGAUAGGUUGGGUGUGUAAGCGUAGCGAUACGUUGAGCUAACCAAUACUAAUGAACCGUGAGGCUUAACCUGACAACACCGAAGGUGUUUUAG
rnacentral:rRNA from 1 species